AUGAACGCUGGCGGCGUGCCUAAUACAUGCCAGUCGAGCGAACAGACGAGGAGCUUGCUCCUCUGACGUUAGCGGCGGACGGGUGAGUAACACGUGGAUAACCUACCUAUAAGACUGGGAUAACUUCGGGAAACCGGAGCUAAUACCGGAUAAUAUAUUGAACCGCAUGGUUCAAUAGUGAAAGACGGUUUUGCUGUCACUUAUAGAUGGAUCCGCGCCGCAUUAGCUAGUUGGUAAGGUAACGGCUUACCAGGGCGACGAUGCGUAGCCGACCUGAGAGGGUGAUCGGCCACACUGGAACUGAGACACGGUCCAGACUCCUACGGGAGGCAGCAGUAGGGAAUCUUCCGCAAUGGGCGAAAGCCUGACGGAGCAACGCCGCGUGAGUGAUGAAGGUCUUCGGAUCGUAAAACUCUGUUAUUAGGGAAGAACAAAUGUGUAAGUAACUAUGCACGUCUUGACGGUACCUAAUCAGAAAGCCACGGCUAACUACGUG
rnacentral:rRNA from 1 species